GACCCGCUAGCUCAGCAGGCAGAGCACCUGACUUUUAAUCAGGGGGUCCUGGGUUCGAGUCCCAGGCGGGUCACCA
rnacentral:tRNA from 6 species